rnacentral:lncRNA from 12 species
AUGUACAUGCCUUAUUCCAUUCAAUGUUUUCUUGUGGAACUUAGAAAGUUUCCUUCACAGGUAACGGAAAAAACUUGUUUUUGUUCCAGUGAAGGAAGAAAAAACACAAAGGCUGCCAUUACAGCUGAAGAAACACGAGUUUCUCCAGACAACGUCACUCUCUCUAGGCUCACCUACUGUGUCAUGGCCGGGACAUCUGGAAAGUUGACCUUUUGGAAGGGAAAUAUGAGGUUGGUGGGAUGAUAAGACUGAUAAGAUUGCAGCCAAGUCCAAUCUCUCAUGAAGUGAGACGUUACAUGAUGUUCUGCUGUCAGGCUCGGACACUGGCUAGUACUUUCUGGAUCCCUAGUUUGAGAGUUUUUUUAAUCAUAUCUGCCAAUGUGCAGAGGUGACUGCGUGGAAGUUAAAAAGAAGGGAAGUGUGUCUGCAGGACUGCCCAAAAUGACUCAUAUUCAGAGGGCAAGGAAUGGAAAGACGUGAGAGACAAGCAGAGGAUUUGUAAAUAUUUCAAGUUGUAAAUCAUAUGAUUCAUAAUAAUUUGUUUGUGACUCAUAUUUCCCAACUAUUAUGUAGUCAGCUAUCAUAAUAGAUAUAAAGUGCAACAUUCAACUUUUGAACAGCUUCCUGUCAGAAUGACUCCACCUACCAUGGCCUCUUAUCAGCAGAUCUGGGAUCAUUUUCCCUUUCCACUAUUGAAAUCAUGUCAGAACAGACUCUACAUCACCUCCUCUGGGACCCUUUGUAUUAGUUUUUUAGUGGGGGUAUGACGCUAGGAAUGAUAUAGAUAAGCUGAGAACUUUAUUCUGUUUUGAACCUCUCACUCAUUGCGGUCAUCAUUAAAUGCUCUUGAAUCAGCUGUCUAAUAGCCUAAGGCCUCUGGAGAAUAUUUAGCUGGAUCUUUUUGAAAACGCUGAUGGCCAUACAAGGUGGUGGCUUGGUUGGUUUAGUGUAAACAGUUAGAUGUUAGUGUGUUUCCUUGAUGAAGGACGAUGAGCUGAUUCACGUAAGAAUAGAUGCCUCACAUCCUGUAGUCACAAACGAAGAUCUGUUUGCAUGAGACUUUUCAUAUAAAGGUUAUGUUUAGCAAUAAAAAUAUACUAUGGUGAUCCACAUAAAAGUGGAUUACACACGCACAGCAUGCAGUGAGUUUACAGUAAUUUAAAAAUAAACACUCACAAAAUUGAACAUGUAAACAGUCGUACAACAUAAAAACCUUUUUUAUAGUCUCUCAAUGUUUACAUGGUAAAGAAGAAUGCAAUAUCUAAUACAAAAACAGUUCUCUCACCUAAGCAAAUCAUCUGAAGAGGGUUUUACUGCUUUAAAAACUGUUCUUGUUCUUGCUUAGUUUACAUUAGCUGCUAAUGGAACCCCUGUUACACAGAUAGGGCUCUGUUGGCCCAAAUGUACAGAGGAAGCCUGUCUCUUGUUUUUUGUUAAAGGCUUGUCCUGUUACAAAUUUCCAUACAAGGAAGGAAUUAAUGAAAAAAUGAAAAAUACCCCAUGAUUUACUCACCCUCAAGCCAUCCUAGGUGUAUAUGACUUUCUUCUUUUCUCUUUCUGAUUCUGAUUCUUUCGGACGAAUACAAUUGUAAUUAUAUAAAAAAAUGUCCUGGCUCUUCCAAGCUUUACAAUGGCAGUAAAUGGGGGUAAAGAUUUUGAAGCCCAAAAAACUGCAACCAUCCAUCAUAAAAAGUACUCCACACAACUCUGGAGGGUUAAUAAAGGCCUUCUGACACGUUUGUGUAAGAAUUAAAAGAAUAAAAAUUUUAUAAACCGAAAUCUCUAGCUUCCUCUAUAUGUUGUAUGUUCGUUCAUGUGAGAGUGGCAUUCCAGCGGAUGAUGGCGUAGCGACAUAGGUGUAGCAAAAGCUCCGGUGAGGAAAUGCUAAUCUCGCGAGAACCAAGUUUUGUUUACAGCAAAGGAAAACCAGUCUCCUCUUGGCUUAUAUUGAAGUCCUCUGACAUUUUUUCUUUACAAAUCCUUUUUUUUGUACUUCUAAUUCGUAACUGGUGUUUUGUUUUUCUCUCUCCUCUAUGCUUCCAUGUUCGUCACUUCUCACUGGAGCUUACGCUUCGCCUACGUCCUACAUCACCUGCAAACAACAGUUAGUGGAAGCUAGAGAUUACGGUUUACAAAGUUUUAAAUAAGGAUAUGUUUCUUAGACAAAUGCAUAGAUUUGGUUCAGAAGGCCUUUAUUAACCCCUCGGAGCUGUGUGGAACACUUUUCAUGAUGGAUGGAUGCAGUUUUUUGGGCUGCAAAAUCUUAACCCCCAUUCACUGCAAUUACAAAGUUUCGAAGAGCAAAGAAUUUUUUUUCAUAUAACUCCAAUUGUAUUUGUCUGAAAGAAGAAAGUGAAGGUGAGUAAAUCAUGGGGUAAUUUUCAUUUUUGGGUGAACUAUCCCUUUACGGUUAAAGAUUUGAGAAGGCAUAAUCUCUUCUGAGUUUGGUGCUUAUGUCUCCUUAUUGAUUUGAUUCAUUUGAUUCUCACUGGCUACCAGCUGGUCUUUUUUAUUUCAACUCUGAUGUCAAAUUAACUUAAAGGGAGCAUUCAAGGUGACCCGGUGCUCUGUGAAAGCCUCUUAUAUUAUGUAUAGUAUUAUAGUAUAUUGUUACAUAGUAUUACACAAAAUAAUUAUAUGUAUUAAUAUAAUUUUAUUUGAUAAUUAUAUGGUAAUUUUAAUUAAUAUAAUAAACCGAUUAUGGAUUACAUACAAAUAUAAAUGUUAACUAAUAAAUAUAUGCUUUUAUAAAUGUAUAUAAAAACUUUUAUAUAAAAUAAAACUGUUUUGCAAUUUCCUGGGGUGCAUUUGGAUGAUUUGUGCUUAAUGUUGAAUUAAAAUAGCAAACCAUAAAGUUUACCUGUGUAGAGCUUUUGGUUAGCCUCAUUCUAUGGGUGUUCAAGUGUAGCAGAAAACACCAACAGACAAAACUGGUAGAGUAGAGCAGCACAUGCCACAGUGUUAAAGAAACAUCACACAUUGAGUCCAUCAGAGUCUGUCUCUCAGCAGGAAACGCAACUGUCUCAUCAUUCUCCAGCUGCCUCUCAGUUGCUAAACACAUUUAUCAGAAAGCUGUUUUGUUUUUACGUGGCAUACCAUGCAUUUCCUCUGUCCAUUCUGCCACAAACAAUCCAGUCUGAAUCCCAGACCUUCUUCUGGGAAAGAUGAGGAUGAGGAUGAGCAGAUGAGACUCUCACAGUAGCAGAUGUUUGCAUGCAUGCAAGUCCCGUGUGGUGUCAGACUCCCUGUGGCAAUCCACUGAGCUGUAAACCAAAGCCGUGUGUCAUGAGAAAUGGUCAGAAAACAUGGAAAUAUGAGGCUGAUAUUGUAGUAGCUUUUAAACAAAGACUGAAGCACAUUAAUUUAUGAACAGGCAGUCUUAAACAAGUUUCACCACCAUGCUGUUCAAAAUUGUACAUCAUGUACUGCACCAUAUUUUUCAACAGUACACCAAUAUGCAAGAGCUGUGAUGCAUCAGACUCUCCAAACAAAGCAAAAACAGAGCAACAUUCCUUUACACAAUAGCAGGAAGUGAUGGAUUGUUCCUGUAUCAACACAGGAACAAUACAUCACUUCUUUAUUUAAACAGGGAAUUGUCUCAAUUAACACCAGUGAAGUAUGGAGUGCCGCAAGGAAUUGUCUUAGGUCCUCUGCUAUUUUCAAUAUACAUGUUGCUCCUUGGUAAUAUUAUUAGAAAAUACGGGAUUAGUUUCCAUUGUUAUGUGGAUGAUACUCAACUAUAUAUUUCAACAAGACCAGAUAAAUCUAAAUUAUUUAAGCUAACAGUAUGUGUUAAAAAUGUACAAAUCAUUUUCUCCUAUUAAAUUCGGAUAAGACAGAGAUUUAUUGGACAAAAAAAAAACAGUACACAGAAUCUCUUAGAUUACAAUUUGCAUCUAGACGGAUGUACUGUUACAUCCUCUACAGUCAAAAAUUUGGGUCUUAUAUUAGACAGCAACUCGUCUUUUGAAAAUCAUAUUUCACAUUACAAAAACAGCAUUUUUCCUUCUUAGAAA